AUGCCUUCCGUCGGCCCGGUUCCAAUGCUCGGCUGGCUCCGGGAUCGAUCCUUUCGGUGGCUCGUCAAAGGUCAUCAUGCCCGUUCUUGCAGGGACCCAAUUCGGUGCACAGGAUGCCUUCGUUUCGGCCACAAAGUGCGUUUUUGUCAUGCUCAACACUGCUCCGAUCUAACUACGAAGCCGCGUCGUGAUGCUGCAACACCUACCCAACCGCCUGCAUCGGAGGUUGAUGCAAGACCAGUUGAUGUGCAAUUGCAACCCAUCCUAGCGGAGGAGACCGAGCUACUUCGCACUGAGCUGCGCGAUUGCCUUGCGCGAGUUGGGAGUGUUUUGUGGAGAGCGGAGGCUGCUCUCGCUGAACUAGAGGUUGUGCCGGUUGUGUCCUCGCUUCCUGAGCUUCAGAUUGGGUCUCCUGUUGGGGAGGAAGCAAGCCUCUAUGGACAUUUCUCCCCUGGUGCUACAUCAUGUUCGCCGAUGCCUGUGCUGCUCACUGACCCUGGGUAUGUAGUCAUCGGUGAGGUCAUGGCUCCAGUGCUGCAAAUUAUGCCUGAGCUACAGGAGCGUUGUGGGGAGCCUACUUCACCUCUUUCAAUGGUGCUUCCGAAGGAGAUGUGA
rnacentral:rRNA from 1 species